GGCCUACCAUGGUGGUAACGGGUAACGGGGAAUUAGGGUUCGAUUCCGGAGAGGGAGCCUGAGAAACGGCUACCACAUCCAAGGAAGGCAGCAGGCGCGCAAAUUACCCAAUCCCGACACGGGGAGGUAGUGACAAUAAAUAACAAUACGGGGCUCUUUCGGGUCUCGUAAUUGGAAUGAGUACAAUUUAAAUCCCUUAACGAGGAACAAUUGGAGGGCAAGUCUGGUGCCAGCAGCCGCGGUAAUUCCAGCUCCAAUAGCGUAUAUUAAAGUUGUUGCAGUUAAAAAGCUCGUAGUUGAAUUUCGGGAUUGACACAUCGGUCGUGCCUUAAGGGGUAUGAACUGGUGUAGUCAAUUUCUCACCUUCUGGAGAACCGCAAUGCCCUUAAUUGGGUGUCGCGGGAAACCAGGACCUUUACUUUGAAAAAAUUAGAGUGUUUAAAGCAGGCAUUUUGCUUGAAUACAUUAGCAUGGAAUAAUAAAAUAGGACGGCAUGAUUCUAUUUUGUUGGUUUCUAGGAUCACCGUAAUGAUUAAUAGGGAUAGUUGGGGGCAUUAGUAUUCAAUUGUCAGAGGUGAAAUUCUUGGAUUUAUUGAAGACUAACUACUGCGAAAGCAUUUGCCAAGGAUGUUUUCAUUAACCAAGAACGAAAGUUAGGGGAUCGAAGACGAUCAGAUACCGUCGUAGUCUUAACCAUAAACUAUGCCGACUAGGAAUCAGACGAUGUUUAUUUUUUAAUGACUCGUUUGGCACCUUACG
rnacentral:rRNA from 1 species